GGUCAGAUGGCCGAGCGGUCUAAGGCGCCACGUUAAGGUAUCAAGCCUUGAUUUCAACUCCACAAAAGAGUUCCGUGGUCUCGUAAGGGGCGUGAGUUCGAAUCUCACUCUGAUCA